AGCGAACGCUGGCGGCAGGCCUAACACAUGCAAGUCGAGCGCACCCUUCGGGGCGAGCGGCGGACGGGUUAGUAACGCGUGGGAAUGUACCCUUUUCUACGGAAUAGCCAUUGGAAACGAUGAGUAAUACCGUAUACGCCCUUUGGGGGAAAGAUUUAUCGGAGAAGGAUCAGCCCGCGUUAGAUUAGAUAGUUGGUGGGGUAAUGGCCUACCAAGUCUACGAUCUAUAGCUGGUUUUAGAGGAUGAUCAGCAACACUGGGACUGAGACACGGCCCAGACUCCUACGGGAGGCAGCAGUGGGGAAUCUUAGACAAUGGGCGCAAGCCUGAUCUAGCCAUGCCGCGUGAGUGAAGAAGGCCUUAGGGUCGUAAAGCUCUUUCGCCAGGGAUGAUAAUGACAGUACCUGGUAAAGAAACCCCGGCUAACUCCGUGCCAUCAGCCGCGGUAAUACGGAGGGGGUUAGCGUUGUUCGGAAUUACUGGGCGUAAAGCGCACGUAGGCGGAUUAGAAAGUAUGGGGUGAAAUCCCAGGGCUCAACCCUGGAACUGCCUCAUAAACUCCUAAUCUAGAGUUCGAGAGAGGUGAGUGGAAUUCCGAGUGUAGAGGUGAAAUUCGUA
rnacentral:rRNA from 1 species